rnacentral:rRNA from 1 species
UACGUAGGGGGCGAGCGUUGUCCGGAUUUACUGGGCGUAAAGCGCGUGUAGGCGGCCCGUUAAGUCCGUUGUGAAAGCCCCGAGCUCAACUUGGGAAUUGCAGUGGAUACUGGCAGGCUGGAGUACGGUAGAGGAAGGUGGAAUUCCCGGUGUAGCAGUGAAAUGCGUAGAUAUCGGGAGGAACACCAGUGGCGAAGGCGGCCUUCUGGACCAGUACUGACGCUCAUGCACGAAAGCGUGGGGAGCAAACAGG